rnacentral:rRNA from 1 species
UUGACCUCGAAUCAGGUAGGAAUACCCGCUGAACUUAACAUUAAAACCCCGG